rnacentral:rRNA from 1 species
GUGCCAGCCGCCGCGGUAAUACGUAGGUGGCAAGCGUUGUCCGGAUUUAUUGGGCGUAAAGCGAGCGCAGGCGGUUUCUUAAGUCUGAUGUGAAAGCCUUCGGCUCAACCGAAGAAGUGCAUCGGAAACUGGGAAACUUGAGUGCAGAAGAGGACAGUGGAACUCCAUGUGUAGCGGUGAAAUGCGUAGAUAUAUGGAAGAACACCAGUGGCGAAGGCGGCUGUCUGGUCUGUAACUGACGCUGAGGCUCGAAAGCAUGGGUAGCAAACAGGAUUAGAUACCCUGGUAGUCCAUGCCGUAAACGAUGAGUGCUAGGUGUUGGAGGGUUUCCGCCCUUCAGUGCCGCAGCUAACGCAUUAAGCACUCCGCCUGGGGAGUACGACCGCAAGGUUGAAACUCAAAGGAAUUGACGGGGGCCCGCACAAGCGGUGGAGCAUGUGGUUUAAUUCGAAGCAACGCGAAGAACCUUACCAGGUCUUGACAUCCUUUGACCACUCUAGAGAUAGAGUUUUCCCUUCGGGGACAAAGUGACAGGUGGUGCAUGGUUGUCGUCAGCUCGUGUCGUGAGAUGUUGGGUUAAGUCCCGCAACGAGCGCAACCCUUAUUACUAGUUGCCAGCAUUUAGUUGGGCACUCUAGUGAGACUGCCGGUGACAAACCGGAGGAAGGUGGGGACGACGUCAAAUCAUCAUGCCCCUUAUGACCUGGGCUACACACGUGCUACAAUGGAUGGUACAACGAGUUGCGAGACCGCGAGGUUUAGCUAAUCUCUUAAAACCAUUCUCAGUUCGGAUUGUAGGCUGCAACUCGCCUACAUGAAGCCGGAAUCGCUAGUAAUCGCGGAUCAGCAUGCCGCGGUGAAUACGUUCCCGGGCCUUGCACACACCGCCCGU